AUACGGAGGGCGCGAACGUUGCUCGGAAUCAUUGGGCGUAAAGCGCACGUAGGCGGCCUGAUAAGUCGGAUGUGAAAGCCCACGGCUUAACCGUGGAAGUGCAUUCGAAACUGUCAGGCUUGAGUAUGGGAGAGGGUUGCGGAAUUCCCGGUGUAGAGGUGAAAUUCGUAGAUAUCGGGAGGAACGCCAGCGGCGAAGGCGGCAGCCUGGACCAAUACUGACGCUGAGGUGCGAAAGCGUGGGGAGCAAACAGGAUUAGAUACCCGAGUAGUCC
rnacentral:rRNA from 1 species